AUUUUAAGGUAAAUUACCACCUUGAUAUCUUCAGCAUCAUGCUCAUUAAGCUAUUAAAAC
rnacentral:tRNA from 1 species